AAGGAAUAUUGGUCAAUGGGCGCAAGCCUGAACCAGCCAUGCCGCGUGAAGGAUGACAGCCCUAUGGGUUGUAAACUUCUUUUAUACAGGAAAAAACCUUCCGACGUGUCGGGAGCUGAUGGUACUGUAAGAAUAAGGAUCGGCUAACUCCGUGCCAGCAGCCGCGGUAAUACGGAGGAUCCAAGCGUUAUCCGGAUUUAUUGGGUUUAAAGGGUGCGUAGGCGGAUUGGUAAGUCAGUGGUGAAAUCCUACAGCUUAACUGUAGAACUGCCAUUGAUACUAUCAGUCUUGAGUACAAUUGAAGUGGGCGGAAUGUGUCAUGUAGCGGUGAAAUGCAUAGAGAUGACACAGAACACCGAUAGCGAAGGCAGCUCACUAAACUGUAACUGACGCUGAUGCACGAAAGCGUGGGGAUCAAAC
rnacentral:rRNA from 1 species